rnacentral:rRNA from 1 species
AGAGUUUGAUCCUGGCUCAGGAUGAACGCUGGCGGCGUGCCUAAUACAUGCAAGUCGAACGAAGUUAUUGUAGCAAUACGAUAACUUAGUGGCGAACGGGUGAGUAACGCGUUGGUGACCUGCCCCGAAGAGGGGGAUAACAGUCCGAAAGGAUUGCUAAUACCCCAUAAUGUUUCUGGUUUUAGAAUCUAGUAACGAAAGUCGCAAGACACUUUGGGAGGGACCUGCGUCCCAUCAGCUAGUUGGUAAGGUAACGGCCUACCAAGGCGAUGACGGGUAGGGGACCUGAGAGGGUGACCCCCCACAAUGGCACUGAAACACGGGCCAUACACCUACGGGUGGCAGCAGUAGGGAAUAUUGCUUAAUGUGCGAAAGCGCGAAGCAGCAACGCCGCGUGUGUGAUGAAGGCCUUCGGGUCGUAAAACACUUUUUUGAAGGAUGAGGAAGGACAGUACUUCAAGAAUAAGCCUCGGCUAACUACGUGCCAGCAGCCGCGGUAACACGUAGGAGGCGAGCGUUAUCCGGAUUUACUGGGCGUAAAGCGCGUGUAGGCGGUUCGGUAAGUUGGAUGUGAAAGCUCCCGGCUUAACUGGGAGAGGUCGUUCAAUACUACCGGACUUGAGAGUGGUAGAGGAAGGUGGAAUUCCGCGUGUAGUGGUGAAAUGCGUAGAUAUGCGGAGGAACACCAGUGGCGAAAGCGGCCUUCUGGCCCACUUCUGACGCUCAGACGCGAAAGCUAGGGGAGCAAACGGGAUUAGAGACCCCGGUAGUCCUAGCUGU